CUCAUGGGAACUUACACUGUAUAAUUCGCAGGGAAUGGAUGGCGAUGAGAAUCAGCAGCCAGCUGUUUCUGAAAAUCCAAGGGUUUCUGCCGAUCAAAACAGAAGUAGAAAAGUAUCAAAGCAAGACAGUGGAAUUCUUUCUCGCAUCUGGAAUAAGACCUUCAGAGCAUGCAAUGAGGAUUUCGAGAAAAAGUUGCAAUGUCUUUACGAGGAAGAAGCUUCUUCUAUUCAUGUGUGAAUGAAGAGAAGGGCUCAAAGGUGGUGAAAGAGAGUUGCUGUGGUGGCUUAUGCCAUCAUGAUCACAAGAUCAUUCAAUUUGAACUGGAAAAUGAGGGGUAGUACGAGUUUUUCCUAUGUUUGCGUUUGCCUUGCCUGCUCUGUCAUCUUUACUCUAUUCAACAAGCUUAACAAGGAUAUGUGACUGCAAGGACCAGAGAACACUUGAAAGGUUGCAUGCUGAAAGGCAGGCAAAAAUCGACGAGCUUAAAGAGCAAACAAACUAUUACAUAACACAGCUUCUUAUUCAGGACUGGCCAGGAAAGAAGACUUCCCAUACAUAACGUACCAUGCACUGAAUGGGGUGCAACAACCAGAAGAGCAUCAUCGUUCAGGUUUGAAUUCUGGCAAGCCAAGUUCUCCAGCUUCAGGCAGUGGUGAUGCAAACAGCAAUCCAGGUGGCUCAGAGACCCCAACUCAGCAGUUGUUAUAGCUAGACUCACAAAAGUUUCAACAUGAGGUCAUGGGUUCGAUUACCCAUUGUGGUGAAAUCCCACUGUGGUGUGAGUAGAGCUGGGCAUCGAGUCAAGUCGGACCAAGUUAGGGCUGACCUGACUCAAUCCAGUUUUGAAAUAGGCUUUGACCCGAACUCGAACUGACUCGGUAUCGAGUCUAGCAUGCCUGACCCGAUCUGAGUCCAGGUCUGGCCUGGACUAAUCUCGACUGAGUCUGACCCGGUCACAAGUACCAAGUCGGGUCGAGUCGGCACCCAGUCAAGUCGGGUGCAACGUGUAUUCACGGGCUGAAAUCACCACUCAAAGCCUAGAAUUGAAAACAAUAUCGGUUGUGUAACGGCACCACAUACAUAUCAUAUGCCUUGUGGAUGAGCAGCAGCAAUGUAACAUGGUGAUUGUAUCAUGUACCAUGUGCCACAUGUAUGAUCUGGUGGUCUUAUGAUGGACCCGUGGAUGUUCAAAAAUUGCCUCGAUUGAUGAUCCUGGCCGUCUAAUUGGUGGCUUCUAAAGAUUCUCACA